rnacentral:tRNA from 1 species
GCCUCAAUAGCUCAGUCGGUAGAGCAGAGGACUGAAAAUCCUCGUGUCACUGGUUCGAUUCCGGUUUGAGGCAUCA